CAAGGUCGUUCUGUAUUGCGCGUUAACAAUGAACGUAUAAACACAGUGAGAAAUUUUAUUGAUUUAUUGAAGAAAAAGGGAAGGGGAAGACGUGUGCGUAUACGUGACGAUUUACUUACGAAGGACGUUCGGGGAUAGGUAGAGAGAAAGAAAGAGAUCAGUAUUUGUUGAGACAUCGAGAGCGUUGGUUACGUCUUUAGACGAAUACUACGUAUCCGAGAUUUUUACUCUGAUAUUCGAAGCGAAACGAUACAGUGUUAACCAUCAAUGAUAAACAACAAUCGUCGUGAAUCUUGUCAUCCAUAAUCGUGAUGCCAAGUCUGCCUGCUGCCUGCCUGCCUGCCUGCCUGCUGCCUGCCUGCUUGCCUAUAAGUCAAUCGAGAACGAUCGAACUGCCGAGAGGCGAACAGCAGAGAGAAUAUGCAGUCAUCGCUUGGAACUUGAAUUUAUGUGUACAUCGAAUGUGGAAAUGCAUCGACGUGCGAUAGAUGGAUAGAUAGAUAGAUAGAUAUAUAGAUAUAUAGUUAUAGGCAAAAGAGAGAGAAAGAGAGAGGGAGAGAGAGAAAGAGAAUUCGAACAAAAGGAACAAACGUGAUAAUAAUUAAUAUGCUGGCAAUAUUAACUAGCGUUCGUUUAUUAUCCUAGUCAUUCCGAUAGAUAGUUGAAUGGUCUAUCCAUGUUUAUUAUUCUCUUUUCCUCUCUCUCUCUCUCUCUUUUUCUCUUUCUCUCUCUCUCCAAUACGUUGUGUUCUAUCGUUUCAUCGAAGGACGAAGUGAAUCUCUUACGAAUAUUGAUGGCUCGGAUGUUCAUUCUGCUUGUUUCUCGUUUGCCGUCGUGAACGAGAUAGUUUGCCGUCUAUAUGCACUGACCGAUCAUACCAAAUUGUUUCCGAUCGGAUCUCACGAUCCAAUCAUCGGUUCAGGCUCAAAGUCGAUUAGGAAAUGGAAAUCAUCGUGACUGCCUCCUAUACGUUUCUAUCUGUUCUGACUAUAUGUAUGUAUAUAUGUAUGGUUGUAUGGUAUAUCCAUAUAUAUCCCUUUCUUCUCUUCCACGUUACCGAACAUCGCCAAUUGCAGUUAGAUCCCUUUAUGUCGACGUCAAAGGAUUUUCGAUCUAUCGAUGAAUUCUCUAUGCUAUAUGUUUUACGUUCGAUUUACUUUGAAUGUUAAACGUAUAUACCUUACAUAUAUAUAUAUGCAUAUAUACUUACGCAUCGCUUGUACAUAUUUAGAUAAGUAAGUUUUCUUUUUUUUUUUUUUUACAACAUCAAUCAUGUUCUCUUUUUUACUUUUCUUCCAUUUAGUUUUCUUUUUCCUCCCUUCAUUUCGCAUUCCUUCAUUUGGACAAUCGUGACAUAUUUUCUUUUUUUUCCUUUCUGUUGGUUUGCAAUAUUUAUAAAAAGAUCGAGCUUUCUCGUCGUUAUUUUCUCUCUCUCUCUCUCUCUCUCUCUCCUUUUUUAUAUAUAUAUAUAUAUAUCGAUUUAUAUUUACCAGAAAGAUGGAAGAAUUUUUUUAAGGAUUCCACAUGCCCGACAAAAGAAUUUUACGCGCGUGCUCGCUGGAUAUUUAUCGAUUUCGCGUAUCGAACGAUAUUUUAGGAAUUUUCAUUGCGUAGAAAUUUCCCUCCGCUUCCUAAGCCCUGCUCGGUUUAUGUUUUCUAAGGAAAAAGUAAAUAAAAAAAAAAAAAAAGAAAAAAAAAAAAAAAAAAAAAAAAAAAAAAAAAAAAAAAAAGAAAAAGACAAUAUAGGAUAUAUCGAUAGGUACAUGCAUUUUUCUAUCUAUCCUUUUUUCUUUUCUCUUUUUUAUGAUAUUCCGAUAAAAUUUUGCGUGGAACUUGUGUAACAAGAAAACAUUUUACAAUUUUAUCCGAGUUAUGACAGUUAUUAUAUUAAUCGAAAUUAAUCGAUAUUUUAUAUGUAUAUAUGUACACACACACACAUACACACAUAUAAAUACAUACAUAUUUUUUUUUUUAGAUAUACGAUCCAUUGAUUUUCAUGCUUUUAGUCGAAAGAAUGAUCAACGUUUGAUUCGAGUAAUCACCAGAAAAUAGCAUUAGAGGAACAAAAGAGUAAAAAAAAAAAAAAAAGAGAGAGAGAGAAAGAGAAAGAAAGUGAAAUAUAUUCUCUCAAUGUAAAGAAUGAUAGAUUAAAUGUCGAUACUGAAAA